rnacentral:lncRNA from 1 species
GAGAGAGAAGGCCUAGAAUGAGGGAGCAACCCCCUGCCUAAGUACACCAUCGCCAUGGACAGCCGCACACAGUACAUGAUUUACGCAGGCUCUCCACUGAAGAGACCGAAAGCACUUUCAUUCUCACCCGCUCACCCUGGACUAUGGCCUGGCCAGCGUCCUCCCGGCCUGCCGUGGGGCGGUGGGGGGGGACCAGGAGUAGCCCCAAACACAGAAGGCUGCUAUCUUCAAGUCAUCCUAGGAAUGUGCCAGAUACCAUCAUCUCCCUCCUGCGAUACAAAGAACCAGAGAGAGAAAGAGACCCAGAGAAGACCAAGCUGAUCAAGUUACCAGCAGUCCAGAAUGCCCUUUCAGGAGGUUAAUCUUUGAACCAGUAAAUGUUAUAAUUAGGAGCCUGGAAGUUGGGCUCAAGCUGGCCAUUGAAAUAAAGACCCCAAAAGAGAAAGUAUGAAUGGAACACGGCUCUUUCACCUAAUGGUUCAACACCAGGGUCAUGUUGUUUAUGGAAAAUUAUACAAAGUGAUUUAUUAUCAUAUAUAAGCCUCUUUCCCACAUCUCCUACAGAAG